GAUCGCCAUGAUUUUUUCCUCAUGAUAAGGCAAAUCCUGAAGAAGAGAAAAAACUAACAAAAAUCAAGUAAUAUUGUUGAUCAAGCGAGAUAUAGGAAUUUCUAUUAAAAAUGUAUUUCUUUUUUUGUUGAAAAAUUUAUUAUUUAUCAGUCGUAGAUUAAUAUUGCAUGAGAAUCCUUUCAAGUAAGAAGAUACAAAAAAAACAGAAGAAAAAAUUUAAAACGUGAGAUUUACCAUAACAAUAAAAAUUUUAUAGUGUGACAAAAACUUUCCGGAUAAUAAUGAAAACGAGAGCUAAAGAUUAUUUAUUAGGAUAAAUACGAAGCGAGCGAUGCUUUUCGAGAUAAUUUUUAUGGGGGAGAGACGGAGCUAGAUCAGAUAUGGGGUUGGUCAUAACUAGAAAGUUUUUGUCGUCUCCUACUUUUCUAAAUUUUACAAGAAAAUCAUUUCUAGUAAAGGAAGCAACCAAUUACUAAAAUUGUUAAAACCUAUCGGCCGAUGAAGGGACUAGAAACUUUUAGCGAUUCUUUUCGGGGAGAAAAAUUUUAUGAAUGUCUUUACGAACAUAAAUAGCAUGCACUGAUCAAAGUACAUACAGUUUAGUCCCGCAUUCAGACUUUGUAGAAAUUGAUUUAUGUUGACUAUUUAUGAGUCGUUUUUAAUUCUAUAUUUAAAAAAUGGAACUUCGCGAGUUAUUCACCAAUUUUUUCAUCGUUGCUAGCAACUAAAAUAAAAAAUUAGUUGCCGCUGAUUAUCUGAAAAAUUGUCAAAUAAUGGCGAAAAAAUUCCAUUUUCGGAAAUAUUUCAUGAAUGCUCCAGCACAUUAGUGCAUUAUGCACACAAACUGGGGCAUUGCGGUGGUGAUGAGAGAUUAAAAAAUAUAAUCGUUCGUCUAGAAAUACGCGAGUGUUUUGGUAUGAGGAGGAUGACGUAGGAGGUCAAUAGCUAACUUAAAGCAACGCACUGGACUAAGAGGUAAGCAGUAAUAAUUUCUAAAAUAAAAUUGAACACAUAUUAACAUUAAAAGUUUUACUUUGUAAUUAAAUUAUAAUAUUUAUUUCAUAAAACCGAUUGUAUUAUAGGACGAGCGAUACCGCAUCACAGGGAGCGUCCAGUAGGACGACUUAGUUUAAAGCGACGUCACCCUGUGAGAGAAGAAGAGGAGGGAGUACUAGAAGAGCACGAAUUGAACCGAAAAAUAAUGUUCCAUCUCCGCGUGACGUUCCUAUCAUCGUAAUUGAUGAUGAUGAUGACAACAAUGAUAGGAAUGGCGAUUUGAGUUCGUCUGAUUCGAUUCGAAUAUUGGUCUCUCCAGAUUUCACCAUUUCCAUAACGUCGCAGGAAAUCGAACAAGAGCGGGAGGAACUAACGCUGGAAGAAAAUGUGAAGUCUGGAGAGGAGGAGGAGGAGGAGGAGGAGGAGAAGGAAAAGGAGGAGGAGGAAGAGGAAGAAGAGAAGGAGGAGGAGGAGGAAGGGGAGAGGAGGAGGAUAAUGAGAACAUUGAUGAUAACAAUGUCAAUGAUGAUGUCGACGAUGAUGAUAAUAAUGAUGCCGAUGAUAAUGCUGUUGAUAAUGAGGAGCAGAACAAAGCAAAUGUUGAGGAUAGCAUUGAUGAUAACGGUGAUGAUGAGGAGAAGGAGGAGGAAAUAUGUGACGAGGUAAUAGUAACUCAGGAGGUAAUAGAGGAAGAAGAAGAAAACACAUAUUACGCACCUCUUGAAAAUGAAGUACAAACUGGCGGUGGUGCCGAUCAUCCUACCUCCGCGGUUCUACAUCGCGACAUCGCAAGGGAAGAAAACGCUCCCUUGGAAGAAGAAUUCUCGCAAAAUUUCGAGGACUCCAUCGACGAUGAACAUCGGCAGCAGCAGCAACGGCAACAGAUACAUCAUCAUCAGGAGGAAAAUAAUCACCGGCCAUCAUCAGCAGGAGAUUAGAAAUAACUUCUCUUUUAUUGAGUUAAGAUCGGAAAACUCGCGUUGAUUUAGGAAUUUUGUGAUACUAGGGAGGGAGGCAACUUUCACGAUACGUCCGCCACCCGAAGGUACUGAUAUCGUUCGUUGGAUAGAAAGCGCGUUCCGUGAAAUUCGGACGUAUGCACUACAUUCGUGCGAACCGAAUGAUUACGUAGGAUUAUCGUUCGAGCCAGAGGAUUUAGCGCGUGGUCCGGCUGGUCUAUCGUUUCGUCUAGCACGCGACUUAACUCACAGAACAUAUGGCAACUCGUAAGUUCGCUGGCGCAAAGUGCUGGAGGAUUCAAUAUCGCAGAAAAUUUUACAUUACGUGUUUUCAAAGUCUCAAUACUUGCUGGUCGUGGGCGUCAAUCUAAUUGAUUAACUCGCGAAGAUGUAGCCAAACACUCGAUUUUGCAAAUAAAUAACACAGACAAUUUGUGUUUUCCCCAUUCACUCGUAGUGGCACGUGUAUAUCAAGAGCAUGGGCAACUGCGGUGGGAACUGCAAGAAAGAUGGGAAUCCAGCGUUCUUCACUUACAGCGUAAGUUGGCCGAAGAAUUAACGAAAUCCGCUGGUAUCAUGAUUUCCAAGGAAGAUUGUGGAAUUCGCGAAAUCGAGCAAUUCCAACGGAUUCUUGCUUUCGAAAAUAUUGCAAUUAUGAUAUAUAAUUUUCGUACUUUUGGUCGAGGCAAGAAUUCGAUGUACGACUGCGCAUUACUUCCUAGGUUGCGAACCCACGUGUCAUUUAAAUAUAAUAUAUUACGAGGGCUCGCAACAUUAUAAUCCUAUAUUAAAUAUAAAAGCCGCCGCCGGUUCUCGCGAAGGAUAUUGCGUAGCGUGCAUCGUGGACUUUCGUAAUGACAGAGGUCAUCGAUGCAUUAAAAAAUGCCCACGCUGCUGAGACAGUGGAAUAGGACGUCUUAACGUGACGAGUGCUCGAAGAUAACUGUGCUUCGCGACGACGAAUUACCGUCUUCGAAUCUCGGAUAAGACAAAGAAAGUACUGCGAUAGUUAAUCGAGCGUCUAUUCUUCUAUAUGAACAAUAAAAUAAUUAUUCUGCAACUUUA
rnacentral:lncRNA from 1 species